rnacentral:rRNA from 1 species
AAACGGUGGCUAAUACCGCAUAACGUCGCAAGACCAAAGAGGGGGACCUUCGGGCCUCUUGCCAUCAGAUGUGCCCAGAUGGGAUUAGCUAGUUGGUGAGGUAACGGCUCACCAAGGCGACGAUCCCUAGCUGGUCUGAGAGGAUGACCAGCCACACUGGAACUGAGACACGGUCCAGACUCCUACGGGAGGCAGCAGUGGGGAAUAUUGCACAAUGGGCGCAAGCCUGAUGCAGCCAUGCCGCGUGUAUGAAGAAGGCCUUCGGGUUGUAAAGUACUUUCAGCGGGGAGGAAGGUGUUGUGGUUAAUAACCGCAGCAAUUGACGUUACCCGCAGAAGAAGCACCGGCUAACUCCGUGCCAGCAGCCGCGGUAAUACGGAGGGUGCAAGCGUUAAUCGGAAUUACUGGGCGUAAAGCGCACGCAGGCGGUCUGUCAAGUCGGAUGUGAAAUCCCCGGGCUCAACCUGGGAACUGCAUUCGAAACUGGCAGGCUUGAGUCUUGUAGAGGGGGGUAGAAUUCCAGGUGUAGCGGUGAAAUGCGUAGAGAUCUGGAGGAAUACCGGUGGCGAAGGCGGCCCCCUGGACAAAGACUGACGCUCAGGUGCGAAAGCGUGGGGAGCAAACAGGAUUAGAUACCCUGGUAGUCCACGCCGUAAACGAUGUCUACUUGGAGGUUGUGCCCUUGAGGCGUGGCUUCCGGAGCUAACGCGUUAAGUAGACCGCCUGGGGAGUACGGCCGCAAGGUUAAAACUCAAAUGAAUUGACGGGGGCCCGCACAAGCGGUGGAGCAUGUGGUUUAAUUCGAUGCAACGCGAAGAACCUUACCUGGUCUUGACAUCCACGGAAGUUUUCAGAGAUGAGAAUGUGCCUUCGGGAACCGUGAGACAGGUGCUGCAUGGCUGUCGUCAGCUCGUGUUGUGAAAUGUUGGGUUAAGUCCCGCAACGAGCGCAACCCUUAUCCUUUGUUGCCAGCGGUCCGGCCGGGAACUCAAAGGAGACUGCCAGUGAUAAACUGGAGGAAGGUGGGGAUGACGUCAAGUCAUCAUGGCCCUUACGACCAGGGCUACACACGUGCUACAAUGGCGCAUACAAAGAGAAGCGACCUCGCGAGAGCAAGCGGACCUCAUAAAGUGCGUCGUAGUCCGGAUUGGAGUCUGCAACUCGACUCCAUGAAGUCGGAAUCGCUAGUAAUCGUGGAUCAGAAUGCCACGGUGAAUACGUUCCCGGGCCUUGUACACACCGCCCGUCACACCAUGGGAGUGGGUUGCAAAAGAAGUAGGUAGCUUAACCUUCGGGAGGGCGCUUACCACUUUGUGAUUCAUGACUGGGGUGAAGUCGUAACAAGGUAACCGUAGGGGAACCUGCGGUUGGA